rnacentral:rRNA from 2 species
AAACUGAAGAGUUUGAUCCUGGCUCAGAUUGAACGCUGGCGGCAUGCCUUACACAUGCAAGUCGAACGGCAGCACGGAGCUUGCU